rnacentral:rRNA from 1 species
UACGAAGGGGGCUAGCGUUGCUCGGAAUCACUGGGCGUAAGGGUGCGAGUAGGCGGGUAUUUAAGUCAGGGGUGAAAUCCUGGAGCUCAACUCCAGAACUGCCUUUGAUACUGAGUAUCUUGAGUACGGGAGAGGUGAGUGGAACUGCGAGUGUAGAGGUGAAAUUCGUAGAUAUUCGCAAGAACACCAGUGGCGAAGGCGGCUCACUGGCCCGUUACUGACGCUGAGGCACGAAAGCGUGGGGAGCAAACAGG